rnacentral:rRNA from 1 species
UUGUCUUUUAAAUAAAGACCAGUAUGAAUGGCAAGACGAAAGUUCAACUGUCUCCCUAAAUUAAUCAAUGAAAUUGAUCUUCCCGUGCAGAAGCGGGAAUAAGACUAUAAGACGAGAAGACCCUAUGGAGCUUUAAAUAUAUGAUCAACUGUAUAGUAUAUUAACCGAAAGAUAAAACAUUAAAUUAAACAUAGUGAUCAAAAUUUUAGGUUGGGGCGACCACGGAGAAAAACAAAUCCUCCGAGAUGAAAAGAGUAUCUUAAUUUAUGAACCACAGUUCUAGAAAAUAAAAUAUUUAACAUAAUUGAUCCAAUAUAUUGAUCAACGAACUAAGUUACCCUAGGGAUAACAGCGCAAUCCUUUCCAAGAGUCCUUAUCGACGAAUGGGUUUACGACCUCGAUGUUGGAUCAGGACACCCCGAUGGUGUAGCCGCUAUUAAAGGUUCGUUUGUUCAACGAUUAAAGU